AUCCUGGCUUAGGAUGAACGCUGGCGGCGUGCCUAACACAUGCAAGUCGAGCGAUCUUCUUCGGAAGAGAGCGGCGGACGGGUGAGUAACGCGUGGGUAACCUGCCCUGUACACACGGAUAACAUACCGAAAGGUAUGCUAAUACGGGAUAACAUACUUUUAUCGCAUGGUAGAAGUAUCAAAGCUCCGGCGGUACAGGAUGGACCCGCGUCUGAUUAGCUAGUUGGUAAGGUAACGGCUUACCAAGGCGACGAUCAGUAGCCGACCUGAGAGGGUGAUCGGCCACAUUGGAACUGAGACACGGUCCAAACUCCUACGGGAGGCAGCAGUGGGGAAUAUUGCACAAUGGGCGAAAGCCUGAUGCAGCAACGCCGCGUGAGCGAUGAAGGCCUUCGGGUCGUAAAGCUCUGUCCUCAAGGAAGAUAAUGACGGUACUUGAGGAGGAAGCCCCGGCUAACUACGUGCCAGCCGCGGC
rnacentral:rRNA from 1 species